GGGCGCAUAGCUCAGCGGGAGAGCACUGCUUUCACACGGCAGGGGUCGGUGGUUCGAUCCCACCUGCGCCCACCA
rnacentral:tRNA from 1 species